CACGUUCGCGCCUAGUGUUCUCCAAUUAGAGAAGAGCGGGACGGUGCGGCGCAGUGCGACCGAGCGCUGCAUUCAAGUUCAUUACUUCCGUAGUGUGGCUGCCGCCGAGCGCCCUGACCGUGCUCUCGAUCUUCAAGUCUCUAUGACCAUCAAGCCGCGUGCUCGUCGUGCUAUUUGUUAUGAUAUAAUCUUAUGUCACGAAUUGCAGAAAAUCCUGUAAAAUAGCCUUCGAUCAUGAGUUACAGAAAAAAUCUAAUCACCUGGCGAAUCGUUGAAAAAAGGGAUAAAACGCAACUGUUGUUCAACAUUAUAACGGGGCCAAAGGGUUACGGGACCAUAUGCUCCAUAGCCCAAAUACCGGAUAUGGGUUAAGUAAUCACAGGCUUUUUCUGCAUCCUUUCUAUUAAACCCCUUUCAUUAAAUGAUCCGUAACUGUACUUUGGGGAUAAAAAACCACGACAUUUGCAAACUCCAGCGGUAUGUUAAUUGAAUUGCUAGCAAUUGGUGCCGUCGCCGAAAUGGUUUCUAGUAUCUGGUGUCUUUUUUUGUGUAACGUACAUCCGCUAUGGCAAAAAUACUGCUUAACCUUAUUAAUGAUUUCAGUUAGGUAUGUGAACAAUAUUGGAAUGAUGACAACACUAAAGUUACUGUUUAAAAAAACGAAUCGGUCCUAUUUGGUUGUAAGGACACCUACACCUACUACUACGCAAGUUAUUUUUAAUUUGGGUAUGAUUUAAAAAUAUGAAACCGGGAUCGUUUGCCAAAUAAGAGUUUUUUUUAAAUCUUUCAUAAAUAUACAUUGCUCUACAUAUUAACUUUAAAAUUGGUUAGUUCUAUAGUAUUAUAUUCUUCCUUUGGUUGCUGUAUGUUUACCCCUAGCCUUGUAUACCUCACUUUUGC